rnacentral:rRNA from 1 species
UUCCGUAGGUGAACCUGCGGAGGGAUCAUUACUGAGUUUACGCUCUACAACCCUUUGUGAACAUACCUAUAACUGUUGCUUCGGCGGGUAGGGUCUCCGUGACCCUCCCGGCCUCCCGCCCCCGGGCGGGUCGGCGCCCGCCGGAGGAUAACCAAACUCUGAUUUAACGACGUUUCUUCUGAGUGGUACAAGCAAAUAAUCAAAACUUUUAACAACGGAUCUCUUGGUUCUGGCAUCGAUGAAGAACGCAGCGAAAUGCGAUAAGUAAUGUGAAUUGCAGAAUUCAGUGAAUCAUCGAAUCUUUGAACGCACAUUGCGCCCGCCAGCAUUCUGGCGGGCAUGCCUGUUCGAGCGUCAUUUCAACCCUCAAGCUCUGCUUGGUGUUGGGGCCCUACAGCUGAUGUAGGCCCUCAAAGGUAGUGGCGGACCCUCCCGGAGCCUCCUUUGCGUAGUAACUUUACGUCUCGCACUGGGAUCCGGAGGGACUCUUGCCGUAAAACCCCCAAUUUUCCAAAGGUGACCUCGGAUCAGGAGAAGCC